rnacentral:lncRNA from 1 species
UUUGGGGUUCUAAUACUUCCAGAAAAUACUUUAUCUUAGGAAUACAGCCUCUGCAAUUAACAGUAAGUGCUGUCGGGAGCCCAGAGUCUUCCAGCUUGCUGCUUCAUAUUGGAAGGAUACACUUGCCAGCAUCUCUACCACACUCCAAACAAGGAGAAGGUUCCUUUGUAUCAAGAAAGCAGAAGCUUUCCAAGGAAGCUCACCCAGCAGACUUCCACUUACAUCUCUCUCCACUCCCAUGAGGCCACCCUUGGACAGGUUACUAGAGAGAAGAGGAUUGUGGAUCCAGAGAGGUAACGAGUCAAGAAAAGCAAGAGCUCCUCUGCUCAGAGCUAUGUGAACAGCAGAUGCCAAGACAGCUGAUGGGGUGGAGUGAACAGCUGAAUUGGGUUUGAGGUUAAAGUGUUCAAGUAACAGCACUGAGUCUCAGAAGCUAAAUGAGACCAACUGGUCGAAAGAGAUUGAUCAAAAUAAAUAAAAUCUGAAAUGAAAAAAGAGAGGUUAUAACUCAUAUCACAGAAAUAAAAAGGAUCAUAAAAGACUACUAUGAAGAAUUAUAUGCCAACAAAAUGAACAACUUAGAAGAAAGAAGUUAAUUCCUAGAAACAUAUGACCCACCAAUACUGAAGCAUGAAGAAAUAGAAAAUCUGAGGGUUG